CUAAAAUUCCCUUUUCCACUGGUGUGUGGUGCAAGAUGAGGCACAUUUUCCAUGGAUGGUGAACAGAGGGAGGAGCCUUUUGAUCACAACCAGGUCACCCCACUUCUAAGCCACUGUGCCUCCAGCCCCACAAGACUAAGGAGAGAGAGCGCAGCGUGGUGGAGAGUGAGCUGUGCUGGGACCAUUGUUUCCGUAACCUCGUUUUCUGUGUCCAGCUGACACACCUUCAAAGUGGCAUCAGGUCCUAAACUGUAGCUUGCAAUGUGCCUGUUUCCAGAAACCAAGGUGAAAGUGCUUUUAGACAGUGUUCCCAUGCAAGAGUCCCUUCCCAGCUUUUUUCUGGAAAUGCAUGUUUCUCUGAACUCUGAGUCCCAAGAAAAAUCACUUGAGACACCAAGAAAAUGGGGGAAGUGCUAAAAUUGUGUGGGAAUUCAAGCUUAACAAUAAACAUCAAGACAUUUUUGAUAAAAAUGAAUCCACUGACAUCGGGGAGGAGCAAGAGAACAGCACGCUGACACUGGGUCAGAGGCUAAGACCGACAUUUCUGGGAACCACUCCCGGAAGGGCACAGAGGAGACGCUUUCAGCCUCUCAUCAGCCAGCCUGGCCUGUAGCUGCUGCACGUUAUGAGUGUGUUCCUGGCAUGACUGCUUCUAACAGGACCAGAUCUGAACAGUCUGGAGAGAGGAGCUGUGGUGGCAGCAGACAGAUCUCUGCUUCAGGGGCCAGGUGUCUAGAAGAAAUGCUGAGGCAGUGUCACGCUGGUGUCUGUCCUCCUUACAGAAUGCCUGAACAGUUCCAUUGACUCAAAGUGAAGAUCAAAAGAACCAAAUGACAGCAAUAGCCAAGUGUAAUCAUCAGUAACCCUGUGUUCUAUCCACAGUUAAAAGAAUAUUGGCAGAGAAACAGCCUUGGUGUUCCAGCAGGAGUGAAGAGGAACAGGAAAACGAGUGGCAGUAGCCCUGAAACAGCCACUUCUGGUGGUU
rnacentral:lncRNA from 1 species